CCUACGGGUGGCUGCAGUCGAGAAUCUUUCACAAUGGGGGCAACCCUGAUGGAGCGACGCCGCGUGGAGGAUAAGGUCUUCGGAUUGUAAACUCCUGUCAUGCGAGAGCAAUGUGCGCAGGCUAAUAUCCUGCAAAACUGAUAGUAUCGCAAGAGGAAGAGACGGCUAACUCUGUGCCAGCAGCCGCGGUAAUACAGAGGUCUCAAGCGUUGUUCGGAAUCACUGGGCGUAAAGGGUGCGUAGGUGGCGUGGUAAGUCAGAUGUGAAAGCCCGGG
rnacentral:rRNA from 1 species